CACAGAUCAGUACAUAAUGGAAAACAUCUGAAAGCAGGGUCUGAAUGAGCUUUCCCGAGUGACGCAUUGGGGGAAAAGACUUCAGGAGCAGAUUGUAUUUACAUAGACACACCUGGCCUGCCUAGGUGUUCAGCAGAUAGACCCGCUUUGCCAAAGGAUGGCAGUUGGACCCAUGUGGAUGCACCUCUGAACUUGGGCUCUUCACUGACUAAGGACAACCAACUGUACUCUUCUUCGGUACCAUGCAGGAUCUGGCCUGAUGUGGACAAACAAGAGAUACAGCUCGUAAAAAGAUCUGUAGUACCAUCAGUUGAGCAAUUUCUCCAGAUUCCUCUCUAGGACCUGAAUUUAUGAGCUGUGGGCUGAGCUGAAAUGGUGACCUGCCACAGUUACCAUAUGAUGCAGUUCAGCAGGGAUGGUGAACUCUUCAGCAGCAUGCAAGUUUACUGAAUGACACACAUUGCUACUUGUGUGCGUAAUUUCAUCACACACAGGUAUGAACGUAAACA